CUCCGCUACCACGUGGAGCUCGGGUACCUUAGCAUCUUUCGCGAGGAAGGGGCGGGUUCUGGCCGCGGGAGGCGGGCCGGUUAAAAGGAGUUUAAGCGAGAAAAGUGGCACGAUGCUCUUGUCGAUCCUCCGGGAGAAAGAGGUCCACAGCCAGCCAGCAGAGAAAGUCACUUCUGGUGCCUCCGAGUCCUCACCUGGAAACUGCAGAUGCUAAUGCUACCAGCCUUCCAGACUUGUCAUGAGGAUUAAAUUAGAUAAUGUGGGCCGAGUGCUUAGCAUGGAGCCUGGCGUGGGAUUAAGCUGCUAAUUGUUAAGAUACUAAAUUGCAUAGCCUGUUAGGAUUCUCCAGAACACUGACAGGCCUCAUUCAAGGCCAGGACUGAGGAACUGGCACCAUGCAUUGUACGGGCUCUCUGUUCUCAUGAUAAUGACACAGCUUGUUCUAUGAAGGAUGAGGAUUCUGAUUUAAUCCCUAGAAACAACCGCCAGAUGAAACCAACUUCAAAUCUUGUAUGCUUUUCAAAAGAAGACAAGAAAAAGGAUUGCAGAAAUUGCAGAUUGGGCCAGCACAGCGUUCACAGGGUGAGCAAGCUGAAUGAACCUCAUUUCGUUGGAAGCCUGAGUUCCUCCCAGUCAGCGGCCAGCAUCCUGCCUGACUUAGGGAGAUGGCGCCCGCCCCACAGCCCUGAGCAGCUGGCAGGAUCCGGGCUCUGCUCGCCAGCUCAGGCACAGGGAGCACUUGGUUACCACCGAUACAGCAGCCGUCUAAAAUGCCCUAUGUUUCAAACUUGUUUUCAAAUUUGACCCACUAAGAUAGUAGUUCCUUUGGGAAUCUGAAGUCAUAAAACCUGCUUGCCACUCAAAUCGCUUUACUCUUUACUCUUUACACUUAAAUCACUCAAAUCUCUGAGCCCUGGCUUCCUUGCCUGUAAAAUGAGGAGACAAUACGUCAACAAUUGCUAGAAAAAUCAAAUUAAAUAAUACAUGUGAAACGAUUUUAAAAAUGUGACAUGUGUAUACAAAUUUAAAUUGAUAUAUGUUUUGGCGAGACACAGUGAACUGUCAAAUAUUUGUGAGAAUUUAAAAAGAUAAUGUAUAUGAAAAUUGCGAGCUCAUCGCUUGGGACACACGGACUCCAUAAGUACGUGAGCUAA
rnacentral:lncRNA from 1 species